UCUAAUGAGACUGCCGGUGACAAGCCGGAGGAAGUGGGGAUGACGUCAAGUCCUCAUGGCCCUUAUAGGUGGGGCUACACACGUCAUACAAUGGCUGGUACAAAGGGUUGCCAACCCGCGAGGGGGAGCCAAUCCCAUAAAGCCAGUCGUAGUCCGGAUCGUAGUCUGCAACUCGACUACGUGAAGUCGGAAUCGCUAGUAAUCGUGGAUCAGAAUGUCACGGUGAAUACGUUCCCGGGUCUU
rnacentral:rRNA from 1 species